rnacentral:rRNA from 1 species
UACGUAGGGGGCAAGCGUUGUCCGGAUUUAUUGGGCGUAAAGAGCGUGUAGGCGGCUUGGUAGGUCUUGCGUCAAAACCUGAGGCUCAACCUCAGUUCGCGUGGGAAACCAUCUAGCUAGAGUCCGGAAGAGGAGAACGGAAUUCCCAGUGUAGCGGUGAAAUGCGCAGAUAUUGGGAAGAACACCAGUGGCGAAGGCGGUUCUCUGGGACGGUACUGACGCUGAGGAGCGAAAGCGUGGGGAGCGAACAGG